AGCGAACGCUGGCGGCAGGCCUAACACAUGCAAGUCGAACGAAGCCUUCGGGCUUAGUGGCGGACGGGUGAGUAACACGUGGGAACGUGCCUUUCGGUUCGGAAUAACUCAGGGAAAAUUGUGCUAAUACCGAAUGUGCCCUUCGGGGGAAGGAUUUAUCGCCUUUAGAGCGGCCCGCGUCAGAUUAGCUAGUUGGUGUGGUAAAGGCUAACCAAGGCUACGAUCAGUAGCUGGUCUGAGAGGAUGACCAGCCACAUUGGGACUGAGACACGGCCCAAACUCCUACGGGAGGCAGCAGUGGGGAAUCUUGCGCAAUGGGCGAAAGCCUGACGCAGCCAUGCCGCGUGGAUGAUGAAGGUCUUAGGAUUGUAAAAUCCUUUCCCCGGUGAAGUUAAUGACUGUAGCCGGAGAAGAAGCCCCGGCUAACUUCGUGCCAGCAGCCGCCGUAAAAC
rnacentral:rRNA from 1 species